UUAAGUCGACCGCCUGGGGAGUACGGCCGCAAGGUUAAAACUCAAAUGAAUUGACGGGGGCCCGCACAAGCGGUGGAGCAUGUGGUUUAAUUCGAUGCAACGCGAAGAACCUUACCUGGUCUUGACAUCCACGGAAGUUUUCAGAGAUGAGAAUGUGCCUUCGGGAACCGUGAGACAGGUGCUGCAUGGCUGUCGUCAGCUCGUGUUGUGAAAUGUUGGGUUAAGUCCCGCAACGAGCGCAACCCUUAUCCUUUGUUGCCAGCGGUCCGGCCGGGAACUCAAAGGAGACUGCCAGUGAUAAACUGGAGGAAGGUGGGGAUGACGUCAAGUCAUCAUGGCCCUUACGACCAGGGCUACACACGUGCUACAAUGGCGCAUACAAAGAGAAGCGACCUCGCGAGAGCAAGCGGACCUCAUAAAGUGCGUCGUAGUCCGGAUUGGAGUCUGCAACUCGACUCCAUGAAGUCGGAAUCGCUAGUAAUCGUGGAUCAGAAUGCCACGGUGAAUACGUUCCCGGGCCUUGUACACACCGCCCGUCACACCAUGGGAGUGGGUUGCAAAAGAAGUAGGUAGCUUAACCUUCGGGAGGGCGCUUACCACUUUGUGAUUCAUGACUGGGGUGAAGUCGUAACAAGGUAACCGUAGGGGAACCUGCGGUUGGAUCACCU
rnacentral:rRNA from 1 species